AUACGGAGGGAGCUAGCGUUGUUCGGAAUUACUGGGCGUAAAGCGUACGUAGGCGGCUUAUUAAGUCAGAUGUGAAAGCCCGGGGCUUAACCUCGGAACUGCAUUUGAAACUGGUAGGCUUGAGAUCGGUAGGGGAUAGUGGAAUUCCUAGUGUAGAGGUGAAAUUCGUAGAUAUUAGGAAGAACACCAGUGGCGAAGGCGGCUUACUGGCUCGAUACUGACGCUGAGGCGCGAAAGCGUGGGGAGCAAACAGGAUUAGAAACCCGAGUAGUCC
rnacentral:rRNA from 1 species